rnacentral:rRNA from 1 species
AUGGGGAAGCAAAAGCUCACUCUGAAGACCGAGGAGGACUCCAAUCCUCGUGAUAAGUACAUAACCUGGACUGACGAGGCGACAAGGUUUAUGCUUGAAUGGUAUAUCGACCUUCAUAAGGACAAACCUGCAACUUUCAAGUUCAAGAAACAACACCAUUUGCAAUGUGCUGAUGCUCUAAAUGGCAAGUUUUCGCUUGGUGUCACUCAAACCCAAGUGGAUCGACACUAUCGUCAAUGCAAAGAGAAGUGGGGCUGGGUGCAUCGUGCCAUGGCCAAUAGUGGAAAUGGCCUUGACAGAACCACUUUCACAUUCACACUUUCUGAGUCAGAAAAGCAAAGAAUCAAUUCUCAUGUUGAUGGCUCACUCGCAGUUGACCAAACCACUGUCAAUGUGGAUGAUGGUAGUGAUGACAGCGAGGAUGUGAGGGAACUUGAGGGAAAUCUAAUUCCAGCAGACAGUGAUGAAGCUAACUCUGACACUAUUGAUCGCCGUAGUCCUAAAGUCGACUUGGAUGGCAAUCCAUUAAACAAGAAGCGCAAGUGUGCAUCAUCAUCACCUUCCAAGAAGCCAACCAAGGGCAAAGCAAACAAGAAGGGCAAGGUAUCUAAUGAUGAUAUGGUAACCAGUAUCAAGAAGCUAGCUGAAUCCCUUGCAUCCCCUAUUGUGUCUGUGCAACCAAUGCCACCUGCAGAUCCUUAUGCAAAUCUUUGGAAGCGGAUCAAUGCCCUUACCAUCCCAGCUAAGGAUAAACUUGAGAUUGUUGCCUAUCUAUCCAAGCCAUACCAAGAUAUCUUUCGUAGCUAUCUUAACUAUGCCGAUGAAACAAUUCUUCGAGAGUGGGUCAUUAGCUACUUUGAGCCUCAGUUUCAUGAAGGUGGCAAUGAUGGAUCUGCGGCUGCUCACUGA